UCUGCCAGGCUAAAUAUGAAAAUAAAAGGCCCAAAUUUUCCAGGCAAAGCUUGCCAAUUCUAAAUAAUCCUGCUAAACAUGUCAGCUGGAGACUGAUGCAAGGGCUGCUGCUCAUACAUUAUGUAGAAUUCAGGGCCACAGCACAGAACUCUGAGGUUUUGGGGCUGAGAAAUGUGUCUGGAUCUGCUCCACUGCCCCAGGUACUGAAAUGGGCUUCUGUGUGGGAGAAUUUUGAGAUAAGAAGUUUUUUCCCAUGAUUGAUCGGCACAGUUUCCUGAGCUGAUGGCACAAAGCAGCCUAGCAACUAUCCACAUUUUCCACUGCUUCUUCCUAGGCUGAAAGAACACCCUGCGUAGGAAGACCUGCUACAUGAAGGCAGACUGAAUUGCUAUAUACCUCAAGCAGCAGACAAUUAUAGAUGCUCACAGAAGUCAGUAAAUCACAUUCUGCAUAGAAAACCACUCUGGAGAUAUGUCAAGCGGAUUGAAGUUGAGCUGGCACAGCUUCACUUCUGCUCAAACCAUCUCUAUGAAAACCUAAUGUACACUAAAACAAAUGUUGUAUAAACUCUGCUCAGCACUGAUUGUGCCACAUCUAAAGUACCAGAUUUAGUUCUGGGCCCUCAAGGUAUGAGAGACAUUGGAAUACUGGAGAAAGUCCAACAGAGGGUCAACAUGAUGAUACAGAGACUGAAGCAUCUCUCUGUGAUUCUGUACAGCUGGGAGUGGACCUUGGAUGGCUGUUAAACAUAGGAUAGAGAUAGCAUUAAACUCUCUGUGCUGUUCUGCAUUAUUCUUUCUUCUGUGCCUCUUGUGGUAUUCGUGACAGCCAGUGACAAUGUCAUAGAAGGCUACCACGUUGGUUGAGCAUGACUUCCCCCUGGUGAACCCAUGAUGGCUACUCCUGAUAACCUCCUUUUCUUCC